rnacentral:rRNA from 1 species
UAACACGUAAGCAACCUACCCUUAAGACCGGGACAACCAGUCGAAAGAUUGGCUAAUACCGGAUGUGGCUACCGGGAGACAUCUCCUGGUAAUUAAAUCUAGCAAUAGGCUUAAGGAUGGGCUUGCGAUCUAUCAGCUAGUUGGUGAGGUAAUGGCUCACCAAGGCAAUGACGGAUAGCUGGUCUGAGAGGAUGACCAGUCACAAGGGAACUGAGACACGGUCCCUACUCC